GAGUUUGAUCCUGGCUCAGAUUGAACGCUGGCGGCAUGCUUUACACAUGCAAGUCGAGCGGCAGCGCGGGGGCAACCCUGGCGGCGAGCGGCGAACGGGUGAGGAAUGCAUCGGAACGUACCCGAGAGUGGGGGAUAACGCCGCGAAAGCGGCGCUAAUACCGCAUAUUCUCUUUGGAGGAAAGUGGGGGACCGCAAGGCCUCACGCUCACGGAGCGGCCGAUGUCGGAUUAGCUAGUUGGUGGGGUAAAGGCUUACCAAGGCGACGAUCCGUAGCUGGUCUGAGAGGAUGAUCAGCCACACUGGGACUGAGACACGGCCCAGACUCCUACGGGAGGCAGCAGUGGGGAAUUUUGGACAAUGGGGGCAACCCUGAUCCAGCCAUGCCGCGUGCGGGAAGAAGGCCUUCGGUUGUAACCG
rnacentral:rRNA from 1 species